rnacentral:rRNA from 1 species
CUGCCGGGGUCAACUCGGAGGAAGGUGGGGAUGACGUCAAAUCAUCAUGCCCCUUAUGUCUUGGGCUUCACGCAUGCUACAAUGGCCGGUACAGAGGGCAGCAAUACCGCAAGGUGGAGCGAAUCCCAAAAAGCCGGUCUCAGUUCGGAUUGAGGUCUGCAACUCGACCUCAUGAAGUUGGAGUCGCUAGUAAUCGUGGAUCAGCAACGCCACGGUGAAUACGUUCCCGGGCCUUGUACACACCGCCCGUCAAGUCAUGAAAGUCGGUAACACCCGAAGCCGGUGGCCCAACCGCAAGGAGGGAGCUGUCGAAGGUGGGAUCGGUGAUUAGGACUAAGUCGUAACAAGGUAGCCGUACCGGAAGGUGCGGCUGGAUCACCUCCUUUCUAAGGAG